AGAGUUUGAUCAUGGCUCAGGAUGAACGCUAGCUACAGGCUUAACACAUGCAAGUCGAGGGGAAACGAUAUUGGAAGCUUGCUUCCGAUAGGCGUCGACCGGCGCACGGGUGAGUAACGCGUAUCCAACCUGCCCACCACUUGGGGAUAACCUUGCGAAAGUAAGACUAAUACCCAAUGACGUCUCUAGAAGACAUCUGAAAGAGAUUAAAGAUUUAUCGGUGAUGGAUGGGGAUGCGUCUGAUUAGCUUGUUGGCGGGGUAACGGCCACCAAGGCUACGAUCAGUAGGGGUUCUGGAGAGGAACGGUCCCCCACAUUGGAACUGAGACACGGUCCAAACUCCUACGGAGGCA
rnacentral:rRNA from 1 species